GAUGAACGCUGGCGGCGUGCCUAAUACAUGCAAGUCGAGCGAACGGACGAGAAUCUUGCUUCUCUGAUGUUAGCGGCGGACGGGUGAGUAACACGUGUAUAACCUACCUAUAAGACUGGUAUAACUUCGGGAAACCGGAGCUAAUACCGGAUAAUAUUUUGAACCGCAUGGUUCAAAAGUAAAAUACGGUCUUUCGGUCACUUAUAGAUGGAUCCGCGCUGCAUUAGCUAGUUGGUAAGGUAACGGCUUACCAAGGCAACGAUGCAUAGCCGACCUGAGAGGGUGAUCGGCCACACUGGAGCUGAAACACGGUCCAGACUACUACGGGAGGCAGCAGUAGGGAAUCUUACGCAAUGGGCGAAAGCCUGACGGAGCAGCGGCGCGUGAGUGAUGAAGGUCUUCGGAUCGUAAAACUCUGUUAUUAGGGAAGAACAUAUGUGUAAGUAACUGUGCACAUCUUGACGGUACCUAAUAAGAAAGCAACGGCUAACUACGUG
rnacentral:rRNA from 1 species